UGUUAACCUCUCUUGCAUCACUGUGUUUUCCUGAGGGGGAGAGGAAGAGGAGUUAUAACAAAUACUCAGGGAAGUGGGCACAGCCUGCAAUGUGGGAGGAGGCUGCUCCCCAUUUUGGGUUUAGAUGGCAUGCCACACUUCUGCACUGGGAGUCCUUGGGGAAUGAGGACAUCUGAGCCACACAGACCACCCCAUGAGCCCCUUCUUGGCUGGUUUUCAGAGGCUCCUGAAGCCAUGAAAUUUGCACAGGGUUGUACUAACUUCCUGCAGAGGCCCACACUGUGGCUCCACUGUCACUCCAAGCUCCCUGCUCAGCAGGCCUGAGGACAGCAAGGAAUGGAAGACCAGCAGGGCAGACGCCUCAAAGGAAAGGCAGAAGAAAGUAAGACAACAGUAAGGGAGUGAUACUCAGAAAUAGCCCUGGGGGA